rnacentral:lncRNA from 1 species
AUGUGCGCUGCUUUUUUUUUUUUUUACAGCACGCCCAAAAAGGUUUCCCUGCCGGCAGGAGGAAACUUUGGGCAGCGUCCCCCCUCGCAGAGUGCACCGGGAGCAGCGCCCGGAGCAAACCCCAAACCCGCGGCACCCCGGGGGACAGCAGAGCCCGGGGGUGGCCGCGGGUCCCCGCGGGGGUCCCUUGGGGGCUUUGGGGACCCCACACCGGGGACACCCGCGGGGACAAACCCCAGGAGCGGGGCUCCGCCAACCGAGUGGGGGCACACCGGGAGGCUCGGGGUGCGCGUAUGGUGGUGGGGUUGUUGGAGAGGGGCUGUCCGGUGUCCCCCGUCCCCUCUGGCCACCGGGGGUGCGCGGGGCUGGCUUGGCCGGAGGGGGGGGGGCCCAGGAAAAAAGGGGAGGGGGGGGCGGCUCCGGCGUCCCGGGAGCCGGCGUGGGGCCGCGCCGCAACCCGCGCCGCGAUCGAUCCGCAUCGACCGUCCCCGCCGCGCUGCUCCACUUUCCAGCCAAUGUCAGGCGGCGGCGGCGGCGGCCCGGGGAGCCCCGCCGGUGGCACCGCACACCCCGCCUGGCGCACCGCCCGCGCCGCGCUGCCCCGAAGAGCCGGCCUGGACCGCAACGCCGAGGAGCCGCGGAGCCGCCGAGCAGCGCCCCGGUUCCUCUCCUCCCCCCCUUGCUCCUGCAGAGGGGUCCCGAGCAGCCGGAGCCCCGCUACGGGAGGAGGAGGAGGAGAGGGAAGGGAGCUGGGUGAUGCGCGGUGGCUGUCGGUGCGCCCCGCACCUGCACCCGCAGCUGGGCACGCAGCUGCACCUACACGCAUCCACGUGUGCACACCUACAUCUGCACACACACACACACACAUGCACAACUGCACCGACACACACACCUACAUGCACACCUACACCUACAUGCACACCUACACCCCCGCCCGCACCUGCACCUACACCUGCACGUACAGCUACACCUACACGCACACCUACACCCACACCCACACGCACACCUACCCCCACAUCUACAUGCGUAUGCACACCUACACCCGUACCUACACCUGUACCUACACCUGUACCUACAGCUGUACCUACACCUACACCCGUACCUACACCUACACCCACACCCAUCCUCACACCUACACCUACACUUGCACCUGCUCCUGUAGCCAUACCUACCCCCACAUGCACACCCACACCUACAGCCAUACCUACACCUACACCCACAUCUCCAGCUGCACCCACACCUACACCUGCACCCGUACCUACCACCCCCAGAAACACCCACACCAAAUCCACCCGGUGCAGCACCCUGCUGCACCCCACCGCCACCCCGCUGCCCUGCAGGACCCCUUGGCACCACCCUGCUCCUCACCCCGAGCCCACCCCACAGCCCCGUCCUGCAGCCCGAAGUGGCGCCGUGCCCCGUUUUGUGUCCCGCUGCUGCCCUUCGCACGUUGCCUGUGCUGGGAGGCCCCUGGGAAGGAGCGUG